AGAGUUUGAUCCUGGCUCAGGACGAACGCUGGCGGCGUGCCUAACACAUGCAAGUCGAGCGAGGAGGAGGGAGCUUGCUUCCGAAUCCUAGCGGCGGACGGGUGAGUAACGCGUGAGCAACCUGCCUCAAACAGGGGGAUAACGCAUCGAAAGAUGUGCUAAUACCGCGUAAGACCACAGCACCGCAUGGUGCAGAGGUCAAAGGAGCAAUCCGGUUUGAGAUGGGCUCGCGUCCGAUUAGCUAGUUGGUGAGAUAACGGCCCACCAAGGCGACGAUCGGUAGCCGACCUGAGAGGGUGAUCGGCCACAUUGGAACUGAGAAACGGUCCAGACUCCUACGGGAGGCAGCAGUGGGGAAUAUUGGGCAAUGGGCGAAAGCCUGACCCAGCAACGCCGCGUGAGGGAAGAAGGGUUUCGGCUCGUAAACCUCUGUCCUAUGGGACGAAAGAAAUGACGGUACCAUAGGAGGAAGCCCCGGCUAACUACGUGCCAGCAGCCGCGGUAAUACGUAGGGGGCGAGCGUUGUCCGGAAUGAUUGGGCGUAAAGAGUUCGUAGGCGGUUUGUUAAGUCUAAGAUUAAAGCCCGAGGCUUAACCUCGGUUCGUUUUAGAUACUGGCAGACUUGAGUAUGGUAGAGGCAAAUGGAAUUCCUAGUGUAGCGGUGGAAUGCGUAGAUAUUAGGAGGAACACCAGUGGCGAAGGCGGUUUGCUGGGCCAUUACUGACGCUGAGGAACGAAAGCGUGGGGAGCAAAUAGGAUUAGAUACCCUAGUAGUCCACGCCAUAAACGAUGAGUACUAAGUGUCGGGCAACCGGUGCUGAAGUUAACACAUUAAGCACUCCGCCUGAGUAGUACGGUCGCAAGACUGAAACUCAAAGGAAUUGACGGGCACCCGCACAAGCGGUGGAGCAUGCCGUUUAAUUCGAAAAUACGCGAAGAACCUUACCUAGACUUGACAUCCCUGGCAAAGCUCUGGAAACAGAGUGGAGGUUAUCCGGGUGACAGGUGGUGCAUGGUUGUCGUCAGCUCGUGUCGUGAGAUGUUCGGUUAAGUCCGCUAACGAGCGCAACCCUUGUCUUUAGUUGCCAGCAUUAAGUUGGGCACUCUAGAGGGACUGCCGAGGAUAACUCGGAGGAAGGUGGGGAUGACGUCAAAUCAUCAUGCCCCUUAUGCUUAGGGCUACACACGUGCUACAAUGGGUGGUACAGAGGGUUGCCAAACCGUGAGGUGGAGCUAAUCCCUUAAAGCCAUUCUCAGUUCGGAUUGUAGGCUGAAACUCGCCUACAUGAAGCUGGAGUUACUAGUAAUCGCAGAUCAGAAUGCUGCGGUGAAUGCGUUCCCGGGUCUUGCACACACCGCCCGUCA
rnacentral:rRNA from 1 species